rnacentral:tRNA from 1 species
CGGGGUGUAGCGCAGUGGUAGCGCGCACGGCUGGGGGCCGUGAGGUCGCUGGUUCAAUCCCAGUCACCCCGACCA